UAAUGAUAAAAAUAACUAAGUUUAUUAAAUAUAUAAAGGUUAGUUUUCCUCCUUAAAUGAGGUUGCAAAUUGUACAUCAUCAUAACUUUUGAUUGCUAAUAUGAAAUCAUUUCCCUCAUAUUCAGAUAUAGGAGAGCAAAAUUUUUUAGGUAGACAUAAAAAGUUUGAAGUAUGCACAAAGCCUGAAAGUAUCAAAUAUGGAACCUAAAAAAACCUGCCUUUGCCACUGACUAUAUAAAGGUUUUUUAAGGUCUGUUUGUCAAGCGUCAAGUCAGGUUAUCUUGCUCUGGUACCAUGUAGUACAUCCUGCUUAAGCAGGUUGUACGCCAUCCAUACGACGUUUGGGCAUCUGUUUGUAAAAUAUUGCUGCAAAUCUUUUUGAGAGAGCCAUUACUAUGGAGAACCAUCUAAACCAUACAAGUGUCGAAACAUGGAUGUAAAUCUUAAACACAUUUGUGAUAUAUAAUUGUAGAAUGUUAUAUGGCCGCAUUUGAUCCUGAAAAACGUUCUUUUUGGACCAAAUGCUGGCUGGAUUAAUGUGAAAUAAACUGAUGAGUUUAUUUAACUUAGCUGGUAAAAAAAAGAGUUUUUGUGAAACAAAUUUAAUGACGACAAUUAUAGAAUGAAGUUCAUUCGCUGGCAACAUUUUUAAACGUGGUCCAGAUCGAAAAAAUUUUGGUGCUAGAAAUUGUCGAUAGUAGAAGUGAUAGAUGCAUCGAACCUAAUUUGUAAUUAAUUUCUGUAAAUAAAUUUCACUUUACUAA